rnacentral:lncRNA from 1 species
GGGUGCUUCAGAACCUCAAAAAAGACUUCCUUAGGCAGUUCGGCCGGAGCCAGUGUAUCCAACUUGGAGAGAAGGUCGGCUCUGGCAUUUUUCGAUCUUGGGAUUUGCCUGAUGUCAAAGCUGUCGAAGGUAGGGAUGAUCUCCCUUACCCUUUCAAGAUAUCUAGCCAUACUGUCCUCCUGAGCUUCAUAAUUUUCACUGACUUGUCCCAC